GGCGCCGUCGCGCAGCGGCGUGCCGUAGUCGCUGCGGCCGGCGAGAGCGCCGUUCUGGUCGGCCUCGGCGCCG
rnacentral:tRNA from 1 species